UAACGCAUUCUGUUACGCAUUCCAGUUCAGGGCCUGUUAGAGUGUCGAAAAUUUUAAUUUUAAUUCGAUACCGAGUUCUACAAAAAUUUAAUAAAAAUAAAUAUGGGUAAAGUAAUGAAAAAAGUAAGACAAGAUUGCACUUUCUGUUACAUAUUUUAGUUCAGGGGCAGGUUCUUUGUGUGGUAUUAACUAAAUAGAAAACCUGGGGUGUGUAACUUGGCUUCAUCAUCUCAGUUCUCAUGGGAGCAGUAACUAACCUCAAAUCUCUUUGUUCUCCUCAUUACUCAGUGCGGUCAAGUGCUGUAAAAGGGAGAUAGGAAAAAGGUAGCAAUGUUUGCUGAAAGUAAACAGAAACUAAGAACAAUGAAUAGUUGUACAAUAGUAAUUUUUCUAGUUGUAAAAUUUAUGUACUAUGGUAAAUAGAAAUUAAAUAAAUAAAAUCAUGGUUCGGCAAUAGUUCACACACAAUUUGCCAGGAAACAUCGACUAGAAGUACUGAUUCUUCAGAAUCAACCCAACUUGUGUGCUGCUGCCAUCUGUUGAGCGUUGAGAAUGUGGGACUCUGUCAGGAUACUUUAUUUUCAUCGAAUUGAAUGAACUAAAACUAAACUAUCUUUGCUCUGUCCAGUCAAAUACUGGGCAGAGAAUUCAUAAUAACUUCUUAGCGUGGAUGAAAAAUGUCCAAGAAUAUGCAUUAGUUCAUAUUCUAUUUGUAGAUUCUGAGGUAGGCCUACAUGGUGUAUUAAAUUUCGAUUAUAUAUGAGUAUACAAGCAACCAUGGCUUACUCUACAGAAACCAUGACUUUCGAUAAAGAGACAUUUAUAGAAGUUGUCACCAGUGGAAUCAUAUCUCGUUCGGAAACUGUCACAUUUUGCGUAUACACCAUGGUGGAAAAAAGAGGAGAGUUAUGGGUAAUUUAUGUGACGUGUGCGUGAUCAUCUUCCAACGUACAUAUGAAUAAACUUCAGAACGGAUAACCAUCAGUUUAAUUAAAUUUAAUAUUUGAGAGUUUUACGAAAAACUUGGAAAUUUGUAAUUAUUAAUUAGAUCGGACAAUUUUAAUGGCCACUAUAUGAGAGCAUAAAUAUUUUUGAGUUUAUUUUAAAUACUCGAGAAAAGCAGUCGCACAAACUAUUUUUUUUAGUGUACUUGGAUAAACGUUAAGCAAUAAAUUGCCUGUUUUAACUUAAUUUGUUGACAAUUCACCACAAUAUUAAUUAAUUACGUCUAUUAUGAUCAAAUAUGACGUCAUACGCAGAUUAGUUCAGUUCUUGUCCUCUAAUUGGCGACACGUUACUUUUACCACCACUGUAUAAACAAUCUCAUUGGUUGCUGAGCAAAUCUGUUCUGGGUGGUACGACUGUUAGUGACUGACGUAUAUUUUUUGUCCUGUUCUUGUCCGUGAAUUUUAGUUUACUUUGUGAUUGUGUGUAUUUUAUUUAAUUGCAUUACACAUUUUUCGGUGUGUGAAGGAAAUAAGUCCAUUAUUAAAAUAUGUUAAAGUGCGUGUCAUACAAUGUUAGUCCAGUACAAUUUUCGGUUGCACGUGUUGCAAUCUAAUUCCGAGGUCACGCUUGUGUUUAGAACCGCAAAGUGGUGCUGUUUGGCGGUCAAGUCAAGGCAACAGACUGUGAGGAUGUUCAUUGGAGUCAUCUGGUUCAGGACAGGAUUCAGUGGCAGACUGUUCACGCUACAGCGAGAUCAGAAUGUUGGCAGUGUUUUCUUCGCCACAGCGUCCAGACCACCUCUGCGGCCAUCCAGUGUCCUCUCCAAUGGGCAACGAGGAUAUUUCCUUGGAGAUGGAUGUCUUACUUCUAAGAAAGGAAGCGUGGUGUGCACUGCCAUCAGUUUGGGAUCUUGAUUCUGACAGUCCUGAGGGAGAGACCAGCAAAAUAAGGAAAAGAACAAGAGGGAAGGAAAAAGUGAAGUUGGAGGACUUGAAAGCGACGCUGCCGAGCAUUAACCUGAACCUACGUGAAGUCUUGGAAUCCCCAAUCUUCUUAAC